AAUACAUUGUAUAUACUAUUCCCAGAUUAGUGCAGCUAGAGACCUAGGUUUUGGUUCUGACAGUUCCCAUGAUUUGUGUCCUUGGGCAUGUCAUUUAAUCUUUCAUGUCUGACUCCUCACUGUUACAGUUUAGCUCCUCAUUAUCACUUUUAUCACUUGCUGGAUCUAUUGCAAAUGGCAUCCUAAUGAUUCUACCCCCCUCCUCAUUUUUUAAAUUGUUUUUUCUUCUCUCCUUUUUAUUCCUUUUAGAGUAAUUGUUAAAAACACACACACAUCUGCUCACAUUAUUCACCUUCUUCAAGUCCUGCCAAGUUUCUCCAUUGGCUAGUAUAGGUCUCCAAAAUGGGGAAUGGCCAUCUAUAGAAAACUACUUCCAGGUAUAUUUGAGAAGCUGAGAAUGGUUGAUAGACUUGAUAAGAAGCGAAGGAAGUCAGUGACGAGGAAAUUUGAUUUGGCACCCUUACUGUUCAGGAGCUAGCCAGAUUGCUGCUGUCAUGCGCCUACCUCUUGCAAUUCUGUUUUAUAUGUUUCCUCUCUGUGGUGGGUAAGAUAUGUCACUAACUGAGCCAUAGCUGUAACUGAAAUG